GAUGAACGCUGGCGGCGUGCCUAAUACAUGCAAGUCGAGCGAACAGACGAGGAGCUUGCUCCUCUGACGUUAGCGGCGGACGGGUGAGUAACACGUGGAUAACCUACCUAUAAGACUGGGAUAACUUCGGGAAACCGGAGCUAAUACCGGAUAAUAUAUUGAACCGCAUGGUUCAAUAGUGAAAGACGGUUUUGCUGUCACUUAUAGAUGGAUCCGCGCCGCAUUAGCUAGUUGGUAAGGUAACAGCUUACCAAGGCAGCGAUGCGUAGCCGACCUGAGAGGGUGAUCGGCCACACUGGAACUGAGACACGGUCCAGACUCCUACGGGAGGCAGCAGUAGGGAAUCUUCCGCAAAGGGCGAAAGCCUGACGGAGCAACGCCGCGUGAGUGAUGAAGGUCUUCGGAUCGUAAAACUCUGUUAUUAGGGAAGAACAAAUGUGUAAGUAACUAUGCACGUCUUGACGGUACCUAAUCAGAAAGCCACGGCUAACUACGUG
rnacentral:rRNA from 1 species